rnacentral:rRNA from 1 species
UACAGAGGUCUCAAGCGUUGUUCGGAUUCAUUGGGCGUAAAGGGUGCGUAGGCGGCGCGGUAAGUCGGGUGUGAAAUCUCGGAGCUUAACUCCGAAACUGCAUUCGAUACUGCCGUGCUUGAGGACUGGAGAGGAGACUGGAAUUUACGGUGUAGCGGUGAAAUGCGCAGAUAUCGGGAGGAACACCAACGGCGAAGGCAGCUUGCUGGGACGGUACUGACGCUGAGAUGCGAAAGCGUGGGGAGCAAACAGG